CUACGGGACGCACCAGUGGGGAAUAUUGCACAAUGGAGGAAACUCUGAUGCAGCAACGCUGCGUGGAGGAUGACACUUUUCGGAGCGUAAACUCCUUUUAUAUAGGAAGAAGAUGACGGUACUAUAUGAAUAAGCGCCGGCUAACUCCGUGCCAGCAGCCGCGGUAAUACGGAGGGCGCAAGCGUUACUCGGAAUCACUGGACGUAAAGAGCGUGUAGGCGGAUUAAAAAGUCAGAAGUGAAAUCCUAUAGCUUAACUAUAGAACUGCUUCUGAAACUCUUAAUCUAGAAUAUGGGAGAGGUAGAUGGAAUUUCUGGUGUAGGGGUAAAAUCCGUAGAGAUCAGAAGGAAUACCGAUUGCGAAGGCGAUCUACUAGAACAUUAUUGACGCUGAGACGCGAAAGCGUGGGGAGCAAACAGGAUUAGAUACCCGUGUAGUC
rnacentral:rRNA from 1 species